rnacentral:lncRNA from 1 species
GUUUUUUCUGUCAAACGGGAAAGUCGUGUCUCCUGGUUCUGGAACUUCGCUCUGUAACCAAUUCAGUUACUUCCUUCUAAUUCCUCUGCCUUCUCAUUCUAGAAUUCUGACUUCAUGAUACGAGUGAGGCUCCGGGACUCAUCGGAACCUUAAGUUUCUCUGUCGGCUUUUCCAUCUCUUUGCCUUAAAAUUCCAAAGAUUUCCUCGACGGUACCGUCCGGCUCUUUUACGGACUUAACCUUUUGUUUUAUGUAGAGAAAUACGUGCAGGAUCCACGGGUGCGUUGUCGUCCUCCGAGUGUUUCUAAGACCGGCUUGUUCUCACCGGGGCUCGGACACCACCUCCGACCGCCCUCGGGAUGGUUUCGAUCAUUUCACUUUCUUCCGCGCGCAACGUCGUCCCAUCCGCGUGUUUGCUCGUUGUCCGCCUGUUCCCGCCUUCCCUGCCACACGCCCGCGGUUCUCCCACAGGCCCCUCCGGACGAGCCAGGGGACACGCGCCUGCCUGCGCUGUCCCUCUCGGAGCCAAGAUGCCCGAGACCGAGGCCGCCUGUCAGAACCGAAAGGCCACCUGUCCGGGCGACGCCGCAGCCACUCCCAGGUCCUCCGUCCAGUGUCAUGACAGGGAGCCUGCGGCCUCUCUCGCCAGCGAAGGGAAAAGCCCGAGUUCGACCUCUGCAGGGAGGACGGCGCGGGGGGAGAGGGGACGGCGGGACGGCUGGCGCCUCCUGCGAUGGCGCAGCUGGGCUCUGCCCUCGAGCCGGGCCCGGGAGACGCUGCCCACAGGAGGACCUGGACGCCCGGCCUGCCUCGGGGGAAAUAAAGCGAGAAACUACUUAAUCUCACACAAGACCCAAAAUGCAUAGAGAAGGGGACUCGGAACCCGGCCCCGGGCCGAGCUCCCAGGGCCGACCCCGCCGCAGAGCCGUGCGCGGACUGGAGACGCUGUGACUCCGGGUGGGCGACCCGCGUGCGUGGCCUCCGGGCCCUGAGAGUCAAUGGAGGGACGUGAGCCCCGAGCGCGAGCGCUGGCAUUCGGCAGAGCCAGCUGAGAGCCGCAGAUUGUGGAUCCCAAGCAAUUAUAUUUUUAAACAUGUUCAAAGUUAUUUUUAACCUUUUAUAGUCCUUUCUGGUUUUCACUGUGCAGAGACUAUUUUAAACCUUUUCUUAUUAAAAUUGGAAAUGUAGACAAGGACACUUAACUGCAAAUUGUGAAUGAAAGAGACAGGGGCCACCCCCACAGGAAGAGGGGCCUGGGGCGGAGACGGGGGAGGGCACACCUGGGGGGCGGCUUCUGAGCACGGACCCAGCGCCAGCAUCACCCAGACCCGGCGGCCGCGGGGAACGGAUGUGCCCCGGGCUGUGGCCCUCGGGGUCCCCUCUGUACCUUGACUCGGGCACAGGCCACCCUUUUAUUUGCACCCCUAGGGACGGCCCAGGUAGGCACCUCAUGAUGCUCAACCUUCCUUCUCGCCUGCAAAGUGCCUGCCCUUCAGCUGCUCCCGGCACCUCCUUUCCCUGCGUCUCAGCCUUCGAGUGGGCACUACAGGGUACCCGGUGCACCCCAUCCUUCUCGGGGUGACCCUGAGCACCUCUGUGCACCCUCAUCCUUCUCGGGGUGACCCUGAGCACCUCUGUGCACCCCAUCCUUCUCAGGGUGACCCUGAGUACCUCUGUGCACCCCUGUCCUUGUUGGGGUGACCCUGAGCACCUCUGUGCACCCCGUCCUUCUCGGGGUGACCCUGAGCACCUCUGUGCACCCCCAUCCUUCUCGGGUGACCCUGAGCACCUCUGUGCACCCCUGGGUGGUCCUGGGUUCCUGGGCUGCUCCUGCUCCCUGGGCCUCCUCACCACUGAUCCGUGCAU